rnacentral:tRNA from 1 species
GCGAUGGUGGUGUAAUUGUCAGCAUAGUUGCCUUCCAAGCAGUUGAUCCGGGUUCGAUUCCCGGCCAUCGCA